UACGUAGGGUGCAAGCGUUAAUCGGAAUUACUGGGCGUAAAGCGUGCGCAGGCGGCUUUGCAAGACAGAUGUGAAAUCCCCGGGCUUAACCUGGGAACUGCAUUUGUGACUGCAUGGCUGGAGUGCGGCAGAGGGGGAUGGAAUUCCGCGUGUAGCAGUGAAAUGCGUAGAUAUGCGGAGGAACACCGAUGGCGGAAGGCAAUCCCCUGGGCCUGCACUGACGCUCAUGCACGAAGCGUGGGAGCAACAGGAUAGAAACC
rnacentral:rRNA from 1 species